rnacentral:lncRNA from 1 species
AACUUAACGAGAUUAAUCAAUUUCAUCAUAUUGGGCCAUUUACUUUUUUUAAAAAAAAAUCAUAUUUCAUUUGUGGGUCCUGUCUUGGACACGCUCCCGUCUGUAGAUGCCAUACUGCAGGUCUUGGCUCACACUCAAAAGGCUUCAGAGACGAGAUAGUUGCCUACAUUAAAAAAAAAAAAACAGGAAUGGAUUAAAAUAGGGGGGGAAAGAUAACAAGGGAACAGACAGCCAUCUAGAAAAAUUAGAUGCUUUUUGAUCUCCCAGGAAACAACAGCCCCGUUUGCGUCAUGCAGCCCUGGACAACUGAUUUGAGCCCUCAAUGCUAAUAAACAAAUUUUAUCUUACAGUGCCAAGUUUAGCCACUUCUGUGGGGCUACAGUCGGCAAUUCUACAUGUGCAAAACGUCCCUAAAGGACUGCAUUUCAAACUGUGGCUGUAUCUGAAUCGGACUGACGGAUUGCAAGGUCUUGAUCAGGGGACUCCCAAGUUGCUGACUGGAUCGGAGAAUGUGAGUUUACCAAUCUCGCAGGUGUUUCCUUGUCUCUGCUUUCAGGUAAGAACAAUGCUUCACAAGGUCUCUCCCAUACUUCUUUAGGCCACCUGCCCAAAGUUUAACCUGGCAGAGCUGCUGCCUGCAACUGCAGAGAAGGUAAAAGAGAGCAAGCUUAAGGCAGAGUUACAGCUACGAUAUUUUAGCCCAUUUUCUCACUUGGCUGCAACUUUUCUAGAGAUGGAAAGAUUGAGUUCCUGUGGAAGGUUGGUUUCUUAGGUAGAAAUGCACGGCUUUGGAGUGUUACCAGACCACUCACCGAGGAGGGGCAGGAAAUUCCAAGGUGAGAACUGUAGAGUAUUGUUUUCGCCCCUGACCAGCAGAAAUCUAGGAGCGCCUGGAUUAUUUUAAAUUAGGGAGAGACAAACUGUAGUCCCCAGAUGGAAUCAGGCCUGCAAGGAUAUCAUUUGUGACUCUUCCUGACCACGCCAGGAUUCACUGUAGUGUAAAUGCACC